rnacentral:rRNA from 1 species
GCAUAUAAUUAAGCGGAGGAAAAGAAACUAACUAGGAUUCCCUCAGUAACGGCGAGUGAAGCGGGACUAGCUCAGGAUGUGAAUCUGCGCUUUUAUGGCGCCGAAUUGUGGUCUGUAGACCUUGACGUUAUUUGCCGGGCCAAGUUCCUUGGAAAAGGACAGCUGAGAGGGUGAGACUCCCGUCCGCCUGGUAGAGUGAGUCAUGUGUCAACGAGUCGAGUUGUUUGGGAUUGCAGCUCUAAUUUGGUGGUAAAUUCCAUCUAAAGCUAAAUAUUGGUGGGAGACCGAUAGCGUACAAGUACCGUGAGGGAAAGAUGCAAAGAACUUUGAAAAGAGAGUUAAAGAGUACCUGAAAUUGCUGAAACGGAAGCGAAGGAAACCAGUGUUUGUUGGUUCAUAUUUCCCUAGCCACUUGUGGUUUGGGCGCUGUGAGCUUGCGUGAGUUUGGGUUGGUUGAUCCCUUUGGAAGAGCGCAGACAGAGUUGAUGUUUGUUGCUAGCACUGGGUUUGACUGAUGCAGACGAAAUGGUUUUCUUUACCCCGUCUUGAAACACGGACCAAGGAGUCUAACAUAUGUGCGAGUACAGGGGUGUCAAACCUCCGUGCGUAAUGAAAGUGACAGUGGUUGGAUUAAUUUGCACAAUCCGCCGGCCUCAAUCCUUCGGGAGAACGGUCUGAGUGUGAGCAUACAUGUUGGGACCCGAAAGAUGGUGAACUAUGCCUGAAUAGGGUGAAGCCAGGGGAAACUCUGGUGGAGGCUCGUAGCGAUUCUGACGUGCAAAUCGAUCGUCAAAUUUGGGUAUAGGG